rnacentral:rRNA from 1 species
GAUGAACGCUAGCGGGAGGCCUAACACAUGCAAGCCGAGCGGUAUUUGUUCUUCGGGACAGAGAGAGCGGCGUACGGGUGCGGAACACGUGUGCAACCUGCCUUUAUCUGGGGGAUGGCCUUUCGAAAGGAAGAUUAAUACCCCAUAAUAUAUAGACUGGCAUCAGUUUAUAUUGAAAACUCCGGUGGAUAGAGAUGGGCACGCGCAAGAUUAGAUAGUUGGUGAGGUAACGGCUCACCAAGUCAGUGAUCUUUAGGGGGCCUGAGAGGGUGAUCCCCCACACUGGUACUGAGACACGGACCAGACUCCUACGGGAGGCAGCAGUGAGGAAUAUUGGACAAUGGGUGAGAGCCUGAUCCAGCCAUCCCGCGUGAAGGACUAAGGCCCUAUGGGUUGUAAACUUCUUUUAUACUGGGAUAAACCUACUUACGUGUAAGUAGCUGAAGGUACAGUAUGAAUAAGCACCGGCUAACUCCGUGCCAGCAGCCGCGGUAAUACGGAGGGUGCAAGCGUUAUCCGGAUUUAUUGGGUUUAAAGGGUCCGUAGGCGGAUCUGUAAGUCAGUGGUGAAAUCUCAUAGCUUAACUAUGAAACUGCCAUUGAUACUGCAGGUCUUGAGUGAGAUUGAGGUAGCUGGAAUAAGUAGUGUAGCGGUGAAAUGCAUAGAUAUUACUUAGAACACCAAUUGCGAAGGCAGGUUACCAAGUCUUAACUGACGCUGAUGGACGAAAGCGUGGGGAGCGAACAGGAUUAGAUACCCUGGUAGUCCACGCCGUAAACGAUGCUAACUCGUUUUUGGGGCUUUGGCUUCAGAGACUAAGCGAAAGUGAUAAGUUAGCCACCUGGGGAGUACGAUCGCAAGAUUGAAACUCAAAGGAAUUGACGGGGGCCCGCACAAGCGGUGGAGCAUGUGGUUUAAUUCGAUGAUACGCGAGGAACCUUACCAAGACUUAAAUGGGAAAUGACAGGUUUAGAAAUAGAUCCUUCUUCGGACAUUUUUCAAGGUGCUGCAUGGUUGUCGUCAGCUCGUGCCGUGAGGUGUUAGGUUAAGUCCUGCAACGAGCGCAACCCCUGUCACUAGUUGCUAACAUUAAGUUGAGGACUCUAGUGAGACUGCCUACGCAAGUAGAGAGGAAGGUGGGGAUGACGUCAAAUCAUCACGGCCCUUACGUCUUGGGCCACACACGUGCUACAAUGGCCAGUACAGAGGGCAGCUACCAGGUGACUGGAUGCGAAUCUCGAAAGCUGGUCUCAGUUCGGAUUGGAGUCUGCAACUCGACUCUAUGAAGCUGGAAUCGCUAGUAAUCGCGCAUCAGCCAUGGCGCGGUGAAUACGUUCCCGGGCCU